GGGAGGGGGAGCGGCGACAGCAGAUUGCCAUAGAGCUACAGAGUGUGUGAACGCCUGUCGAAAUCAUGGCUGAAGGUGGUAACUGGGUAGGUGAUUCAGUGGCCUCUACAUCAAAGGGACAAAAAGAUAUAAACACAGCAAUCCCCAC